AUUGAACGCUGGCGGCAUGCUUUACACAUGCAAGUCGAACGGUAACAGGUUAAGCUGACGAGUGGCGAACGGGUGAGUAAUGCAUCGGAACGUGCCCGGUCGUGGGGGAUAACGCAGCGAAAGUUGCGCUAAUACCGCAUACGAUCUGAGGAUGAAAGCGGGGGACCGUAAGGCCUCGCGCGAUCGGAGCGGCCGAUGUCAGAUUAGGUAGUUGGUGGGGUAAAGGCUCACCAAGCCAACGAUCUGUAGCUGGGCUGAGAGGACGACCAGCCACACUGGGACUGAGACACGGCCCAGACUCCUACGGGAGGCAGCAGUGGGGAAGUUUGGACAAUGGGCGAAAGCCUGAUCCAGCAAUGCCGCGUGCAGGAAGAAGGCCUUCGGUUUGUAAACUGCUUUUGUACGGAGCGAAAAGGUCUCCUCUAAUACAGGGGGCUCAUGACGGUACCGUAAGAAUAAGCACCGGCUAACUACGUGCCAGCAGCCGCCGUAA
rnacentral:rRNA from 1 species